rnacentral:rRNA from 1 species
UACGUAGGGUGCAAGCGUUAAUCGGAAUUACUGGGCGUAAAGCGUGCGCAGGCGGUUUUGUAAGUCUGACGUGAAAUCCCCGGGCUUAACCUGGGAAUUGCGUUGGAGACUGCAAGGCUGGAGUCUGGCAGAGGGGGGUAGAAUUCCACGUGUAGCAGUGAAAUGCGUAGAGAUGCGGAGGAACACCGAUGGCGAAGGCAGCCCCCUGGGCUAGCACUGACGCUCAGGCACGAAAGUGUGGGGAGCAAACAGG